AACGAACGCUGGCGGCGUGGAUAGGACAUGCAAGUCGAACGGGACAGACCGAGUAGCUAUAUUUGGAAUGUUCAGUGGCGAACGGGUGCGUAACACGUGGAUAACAUUCCGGAAAGCGGGGAAUAGCCCAGGGAAACUUGGAUUAAUACCGCAUGUGGCCGCAAGGCUAAAGACGGGGACCGCUAGGCCUGUCACUUUCCGAUUGGUCCGCGGCCUAUCAGCUAGUUGGCGGGGUAAUGGCCCACCAAGGCUACGACGGGUAGCUGGUCUUAGAGGACGACCAGCCACACUGGAACUGAGACACGGUCCAGACACCUACGGGUGGCAGCAGUCGAGAAUCUUUCACAAUGGGGGCAACCCUGAUGGAGCGACGCCGCGUGGAGGAUAAGGUCUUCGGAUUGUAAACUCCUGUCAUGCGAGAACAAGGUACUCAGGCUAAUAACCUGAUUGUUUGAUGGUACCGCAAGAGGAAGAGACGGCUAACUCUGUGCCAGCCGCCGCAGUAACAC
rnacentral:rRNA from 1 species